GCCGCCGAUGCAGCAGCUCCAGGCGCCCCUGGCAGAGGGAAUUAAUUGAGAUUCCUUUUAGUUAAUAGCAUGCUAAGUAGCAGCUAGCUCCUUCUAGCCUAGCACCCCAGAACAGAGGGAUCUAUUAAGAACACACUUCUACCACCAUAACAGCAUCACAAUGGGAGAAGACCUGUUUGAGUGGCAAAGGUUCAGAUUGGAACAAACCUUUCUCAGAUGGACAGUCCCUCGCUAGAGGCAUAACAUGACAGGUCUAAAUUUAUGCUGGAGGUCAUAGGUACAGUGGGGAAAUAAAAUCCAUUUGCUAAUUAUUAGUUACUGCUGUAAGCACACUCAGUUUUCUUUAUCAUUAAGAAACAAGAAGUAUGGAAGAUAACUAGAAGAUGACAAACAGUAACAUCUAACAUGUUAUCAGUGUCCCAGGAGUUUUAAUCUUCUGGGGCCUUCUUCAUGAGGACAGCUGCCAGAGCGGAUGCUUGGCUGACUAACUGGU